GCCCCCGUUGUCUAAUGGCUAUGACGUCAGACUUCUAGCACUACGGGAGCUCGAUCUGGAGGUUGCGGGUUCGAGUCCCGCCGGGGGUA
rnacentral:tRNA from 2 species